ensembl:misc_RNA 7SK 7SK RNA
AGAUGUGAGGGCGAUCUGGCUGUGACAUCUGUCACCCCAUUGGUCGCCAGGGUUGAUCUGGCUGAUCUGGCUGGCUAGGUGGGUAUCCCCUUUCUCCCUCACUACUCCACACGUGUCCCUCCCAAAGCUGCAUGCUCCGUUGAAGAGGACAAACAAACCAAAGACAAUAAAGUUACUUACCACAUCCUUCAACUCACAUGAUUACCAUUUUGUCACCAUUGCUGUUGUAAUGGUGAGGACA